ACUAGCAGAUGGGCGCUGUCUAGUGUGGCUGCUGGGAACCCAACUCCGGUCCCUGUCGAAGAGGAGCAAGUCCUCUGAACUGCCGAGUCUUCUUUUCAGACCCCCAAACAGGUUAAUCUUGAACCUAUUGUGAGUCAUUCAUUCUUAGUAUAAGUGAGUUUGAAGAACUCAUUGAAGAGGGGAAUAGAAUGUAUCUAUAGCACUUCGGGUUGCCAAGUUCUGGGCAUGAAUUUGUCCCAAUCCAAGGUCAUGCCUGCAAUUGUUUUCAGAGGUUAACUUAAGCAUCCGUUUACUUCCUAGCAACCCAAGUAAGGCUGCUGUUCUGUCACAUCCGGACUUAGUUAAAGUCAACUCUCUUAGUUUACAAAGGGUUGUUACCGCUUCGAGACCCAAUGGGCCUUGCAUUUGCCGAUGACCACGUUCUUAUAGAGGAGGAAUCCAAGCCUCCAUUAGCCGAACCAGCAUCCAAAAUGAAGACAGCUUCUGUAACCUUUACCCUUGCUCCACACCGCACACACUCAUAUCCCCUGGGACCAGCCACACGGUGUUUUCAUUUUCCCAGUUGUGUCUUACAUCAGCUGUCGCUGCAAAGAUCACCGUUCCGUGUCUAUGGCAGCUGGAGAGACCCGCGAUGUUGGGGGUGCUCUGCCGAGUAAACCCAAGCAAGGUACAAUCAGGACAGAUCGAUAGCUGCUAUCGACAUUUCCGUGAAAGUUUCCUGUGGAUUUACACUUCUGUUUUUCCUGGAGGAUACGUGUAGCAGAGCUGCUGGCUAGUGUCAUGGUUUUGCUUUCUUCUUUUUGAAUUAUCCAGAUAUGGAAGUGAAGGCCCUUCAUUCGAUCCCCCGAGCCUAGCAAUGUAGGAGGGUUCUUUGAUAUCACAAAUGCAGUUGUGUUUUUAGCCAAAAUGGCUAGAAUGGCUGAUUUUAUAUUACGCAUGUUUUACACGAUAAAGAAAGGUGAGUGUUACAGUUUCCAUGCGAAUAGACUAUUAGUUAUUAUUUCCCUUUUUAGAACUGUAUGAGUGGGUAUGGAACAGUGUUGCACGGUCUUUUUAAUAUGUAAAGAAAAUAAUUAACAAAGGAGCAUUGAGGAUGUGAGAUUUACCUGUCAUUUUCUUUUAAAAGCUGUGUGAACGUCAACUGCAUUUUAAUAUAUGGACAGAUAUCUAUUUGACUAAAAUCCACUGUGUAUUUAUAUAUGUAUACAUGUAUGUGUGUAUAGAUUAUGUAUGUAUGAAUGUAUGGAGGGUGGAUCAAUCUAGUUCUAUGUACUUAUCCAUUCUCUAUCUAUAACUAGACAUCUAUACUUUUGAAGGGACAGCAGAGACACAACUCGUCUUGAAAAGAAAGAAGAGGUUGGGAAGCCUUGCACUCCCAGAUUUGAAAGUUAGUACAGACUUACUAUCCUAAGAGAACACUGGAGCUGUGGAGAUGAAUUAGACGUGAUUGGUGUUAGGAUGAUGCCAAGACUGGCGGGUCCUUGGAGCUCUCUGGCCAGCUGGUCUGACUGAAAUGACAAGCUCUGGGUACACCGAGAGACACUGCUUCAAGAAAUGAAAUAGACGAAGACACUCAGGGUCCUUCUGUAUAUGAACUCUCUCUCUCUCUCUCUCCCUCUCCCUCUCCCUCUCCCUCUCCCUCUCCCUCUCUCUCUCUGCAGAAGUAAAUAAAAUAAGUGAAUGCAGUACUGAUUUUCUAAUGGAAACAAUGCAUUAACAGCAAGGGACAGGAGCCUGGAAGAAACAUUCAUACAUCCACAGCCACAGCCAACUGAUUAUUUUUCAAAAGUGGCACCAAGACCAUUGAAUGAGGAAGGGAGCUUCCCUUAAAAACAACAGUAAGAAAACUGGAUCCACUCAGGCAAAAGAAAGCCAUGAGACCCCUACUUCACAUGGAUUCACACGACAAUGACAACUGGACCAAGCAGGGAAAUGUCAGAGUUGGAACUCUAAAGCUGUUUGAAGAAGGCAGAUGGAAAGAUCUAGAAGACCCCAGCCCGCGUGCAGAUUGUCAGCACCUCAACUGAAAUAGACAAAAGGUUUGAGAAGUCUAAAACUUUUGUGCACUGCAGAUGCUAUCACAGAGCAGAAAGAUAGAUGUGGGAUGGAAGAGAACAUCUACAGAUUUUAUACAUGCAUGCAUACAUACGUACACACACACACAUACAUACAUAUUUGCAUGUAUAUGUACAUAUAUACAAACAAAAUAUACAUGCAUGCAUUCAUACACAUAUACAUGCAUAAUAUACAUAAUACAUACAUAUUCACAUGUAUACAUACAUAUAUACUUGCAUAUAUACAAACAUAAAUAUAUAUGCAUGCAUUCAUACACAUAUACAUAACAUAUACAUACAUAUGUGUGUAAGAGAUUCAUAGCCAGAAUAUAUGAAGUCUUGAAAAGUCAAUAUCAAAAAGACAAAAAAAAAACCCAUUUAAUUUAAAAUGCAAAAAGGAAAUUAGUUGGCGUUGUACCACAGACUAUACACAAACAGAACCAAGAAAAAUGGUCAGAAUCAUAUUACUCUUUAAGGAAAGUGAUUUGAAACCAUAGAGAGCAAUUCUUUCACACUCAUUAGAAUGGCUACUGUAUACGACACCAAAAGUACCAAGUGUUAGUGAGCUUGUGAAAAACCCUCAUGUGUUGGUGUAAACUAGUGUAACUGUGGUAGAGAAGCCCCUGACUAUUGCUUUCAAAUACAGGAUUGCUAUAUAGGCAGUAGUUAAUUCCAUUCCUCGGGACACAUCCGUAGUUACUGAAAAACAAAACCAGGUAUUAGCCAAAAAGUGGGAACAGUUCAUGUGUCCAUCAACAGAACAGGCUAACUGCAUGCGAUGUGACUGGGUGGUGGGGAUGUGGUUGAGCCAUAGAAAGAAGGCUGGGCUGUACACUCAAUACUGAUGAACCUUGGCUAUUUCAUGCUAAGUAAUAAUCCAUGCCCAAUGGGCAGAUAUCAUACAUUAAUUCACGGAGACAGAGAGUAGAACAGAGGUUGUCAGGCCCUGGGAAGUGCCAGAGGUGGGACCGGAUGAAUGAAAAGCCAUUGCUCAAUCACUCAGAGCUUUGGAGGGACAAAUGGGUUCCAUUGAUAAAGAGCAGAAAUCAUCACGCAUUAAAGAUGCUGUUAACGUUUCUAGCUAAAAUGGCUAGAACGGCCGUUUUUAUAGUAAGCAUAUUUUAAACGCUAAGAAAGGGCACUUCCGGUGAGUGUUACAGUUUCUGUGUGAAUAUGCUCUUGGUUGGUGUGUGUGUGUGUGUGUGUGUGUGUGUGUGUGUGUGUGUAUGUGUGUUUGGUGUGAGGAAAGAUGUGCCUCUCGAUCAAUAAGUAGAAUGUACACUCCUGCAGGGCUCAGAAUCAGUGUCCUGCUUCCUCGCUCCAGACCGUUGGGAGCGCUAACAAAUUCAAUUAACCAACAGACAGUUUGAGAUAAAUAUAUGACCCUCCCAUCAGAGGAUAAGCAGUCACGUGGCAGGUCACCCUGGGCUCUGAAUCAACAGCUCUUCUUCCCAAGGAGCUAAAGGAAUGGGAAGAGAGCUGUCUGUGGCUGGCAGACCUGCCCAGAGGAAGGCUCAUGAAUUUAAGCGGUUAUAUAUCUGUGCACGCAAAUCAUGGCGGUGCUUCGAACACGGCGCUCUGGUGUUGGGUGCUGUAAAUCAGAAAAGUCAGAACAGAAAAGGCUAACGAUGCUGAUCGCUUCGAAUGGGGCCAGAACGCUCUGCAAGCCUAGCGGAGUUUUUGACAUGGAUUGAAUAAAUUGAUGGAUUAAAAUAAA